rnacentral:rRNA from 1 species
AACGAACGCUGGCGGCAUGCCUAACACAUGCAAGUCGAACGAGACCUUCGGGUCUAGUGGCCCACGGCUGCGUCACGCGUGGGAACCUGCCCUUAGGUUCGGAAUAACUCCCCGAAAGGGGUGCUAAUACCGGAUAAUGUCUUCGGACCAAAGAUUUAUCGCCUCUGGAUGGGCCCGCGUUGGAUUAGCUAGUUGGUAGGGUAAAAGCCUACCAAGGCGACGAUCCAUAGCUGGUCUGAGAGGAUGAUCAGCCACACUGGGACUGAGACACGGCCCAGACUCCUACGGGAGGCAGCAGUGGGGAAUAUUGGACAAUGGGCGAAAGGAUGAUCCAGCAAUGCCGGGUGAGUGAUGAAGGCCUUAGGGUUGUAAAGCUCUUUUACCCGGGAUGAUAAUGACAGUACCGGGAGAAUAAGCUCCGGCUAACUCCGUG